rnacentral:rRNA from 1 species
GAUGAACGCUGGCGGCGUGCCUAAUACAUGCAAGUCGAGCGAACGGACGAGAAGCUUGCUUCUCUGAUGUUAGCGGCGGACGGGUGAGUAACACGUGGAUAACCUACCUAUAAGACUGGGAUAACUUCGGGAAACCGGAUCUAAUAACGGAUAAUAUUUUGAACCGCAUGGUUCAAAAGUGAAAGACGGUCUUGCUGUCACUUAUAGAUGGAUCCGCGCUGCAUUAGCUAGUUGGUAAGGUAACGGCUUACCAAGGCAACGAUGCAUAGCCGACCUGAGAGGAUGAUCAGCCACACUGGAACUGAGACACGGUCCAGACUCCUACGGGAGGCAGCAGUAGGGAAUCUUCCGCAAUGGGCGAAAGCCUGACGGAGCAACGCCGCGUGAGUGAUGAAGGUCUUCGGAUCGUAAAACUCUGUUAUUAGGGAAGAACAUAUGUGUAAGUAACUGUGCACAUCUUGACGGUACCUAAUCAGAAAGCCACGGCUAACUACGUG